UGGGGAAUAUUGCGCAAUGGGGGGAACCCUGACGCAGCCAUGCCGCGUGAAUGAAGAAGGCCUUCGGGUUGUAAAGUUCUUUCGGUAUUGAGGAAGGUUGAUGUGUUAAUAGUACAUCAAAUUGACGUUAAAUACAGAAGAAGCACCGGCUAACUCCGUGCCAGCAGCCGCGGUAAUACGGAGGGUGCGAGCGUUAAUCGGAAUAACUGGGCGUAAAGGGCACGCAGGCGGUUAUUUAAGUGAGGUGUGAAAGCCCCGGGCUUAACCUGGGAAUAGCAUUUCAGACUGGGUAACUAGAGUACUUUAGGGAGGGGUAGAAUUCCACGUGUAGCGGUGAAAUGCGUAGAGAUGUGGAGGAAUACCGAAGGCGAAGGCAGCCCCUUGGGAAUGUACUGACGCUCAUGUGCGAAAGCGUGGGGAGCAAACAGGAUUAGAUACCCUGGUAGUCCACGCUGUAAACGCUGUCGAUUUGGGGGUUGGGGUUUAACUCUGGCGCCCGUAGCUAACGUGAUAAAUCGACCGCCUGGGGAGUACGGCCGCAAGGUUA
rnacentral:rRNA from 1 species